UCAGGUAGGGAUACCCGCUGAACUUAAGCUAUMMAAUAAGCGGAGGAAAAGAAACCAACAGGGAUUACCUCAGUA
rnacentral:rRNA from 1 species